rnacentral:rRNA from 1 species
UACGAAGGGGGCUAGCGUUGCUCGGAAUCACUGGGCGUAAAGGGUGCGUAGGCGGGUCUUUUAAGUCAGGGGUGAAAUCCUGGAGCUCAACUCCAGAACUGCCUUUGAUACUGGACGAUCUUCGAGUUCGGGAGAGGUGAGUGGAACUGCGAGUGUAGAGGUGAAAUUCGUAGAUAUUCGCAAGAACACCAGUGGCGAAGGCGGCUCACUGGCCCGGUACUGACGCUGAGGUGCGAAAGCGUGGGGAGCAACAG